AGGCGCGUAGCUCAGCUGGUUAGAGCACCACCUUGACAUGGUGGGGGGUCGUUGGUUCGAGUCCAAUCGCGCCUACCA
rnacentral:tRNA from 1 species